rnacentral:rRNA from 1 species
ACCCCGGUUGAUCCUGCCGGAGGCCACUGCUAUCGGAGUCCGACUAAGCCAUGCGAGUCGAGGGGUCUGUUCCCUUUUGGGAACAGACACCGGCGAACGGCUCAGUAACACGUGGCUAACCUACCCUCGGGUGGGGGAUAACCUCGGGAAACUGAGGCUAAUCCCCCAUAGGUCUAGGUUGCUGGAAUGCGCCUAGGCCGAAAGCUCCGGCGCCCGAGGAUGGGGCUGCGGCCUAUCAGGUUGUAGUGGGGGUAACGGCCCCACUAGCCUACGACGGGUACGGGCCCUGAGAGGGGGAGCCCGGAGAUGGACCCUGAGACAAGGGUCCAGGCCCUACGGGGCGCAGCAGGCGCGAAACCUCCGCAAUGCGCGCAAGCGCGACGGGGGGACUCCGAGUGCCCUGGCCUUUGGUCAGGGC